UUUGGUUAAGUUAGAAAGGGCGCACGGUGGAUGCCUUGACACUAGGAGUCGAUGAAGGACGGGACUAACGCCGAUAUGCUUCGGGGAGCUGUAAGUAAGCUUUGAUCCGAAGAUUUCCGAAUGGGGAAACCCACCAUACGUAAUGGUAUGGUAUCCUUAUCUGAAUACAUAGGGUAAGGAAGACAGACCCAGGGAACUGAAACAUCUAAGUACCUGGAGGAAGAGAAAGCAAAUGCGAUUUCCUGAGUAGCGGCGAGCGAAACGGAACAUAGCCCAAACCAAGAGGCUUGCCUCUUGGGGUUGUAGGACAUUCUAUACGGAGUUACAAAGGAACGAGGUAGACGAAGCGACCUGGAAAGGUCCGUCGUAGAGGGUAACAACCCCGUAGUCGAAACUUCGUUCUCUCUUGAAUGUAUCCUGAGUACGGCGGAACACGUGAAAUUCCGUCGGAAUCUGGGAGGACCAUCUCCCAAGGCUAAAUACUCCCUAGUGAUCGAUAGUGAACCAGUACCGUGAGGGAAAGGUGAAAAGCACCCCGGAAGGGGAGUGAAAGAGAUCCUGAAACCGUGUGCCUACAAAUAGUCAGAGCCCGUUAACGGGUGAUGGCGUGCCUUUUGUAGAAUGAACCGGCGAGUUACGAUCCCGUGCGAGGUUAAGCUGAAGAGGCGGAGCCGCAGCGAAAGCGAGUCUGAAUAGGGCGUUUAGUACGUGGUCGUAGACCCGAAACCAGGUGAUCUACCCAUGUCCAGGGUGAAGUUCAGGUAACACUGAAUGGAGGCCCGAACCCACGCACGUUGAAAAGUGCGGGGAUGAGGUGUGGGUAGCGGAGAAAUUCCAAUCGAACCUGGAGAUAGCUGGUUCUCCCCGAAAUAGCUUUAGGGCUAGCCUUAAGUGUAAGAGUCUUGGAGGUAGAGCACUGAUUGGACUAGGGGUCCUCAUCGGAUUACCGAAUUCAGUCAAACUCCGAAUGCCAAUGACUUAUCCUUAGGAGUCAGACUGCGAGUGAUAAGAUCCGUAGUCAAAAGGGAAACAGCCCAGACCGCCAGCUAAGGUCCCAAAGUGUGUAUUAAGUGGAAAAGGAUGUGGAGUUGCUUAGACAACUAGGAUGUUGGCUUAGAAGCAGCCACCAUUUAAAGAGUGCGUAAUAGCUCACUAGUCGAGUGACUCUGCGCCGAAAAUGUACCGGGGCUAAAUACACCACCGAAGCUGCGGAUUGAUACCGAAUGGUAUCAGUGGUAGGGGAGCGUUCUAAGGACAGUGAAGUCAGACCGGAAGGACUGGUGGAGUGCUUAGAAGUGAGAAUGCCGGUAUGAGUAGCGAAAGACGGGUGAGAAUCCCGUCCACCGAAUGCCUAAGGUUUCCUGAGGAAGGCUCGUCCGCUCAGGGUUAGUCAGGACCUAAGCCGAGGCCGACAGGCGUAGGCGAUGGACAACAGGUUGAUAUUCCUGUACCACCUCUUUAUCGUUUGAGCAAUGGAGGGACGCAGAAGGAUAGAAGAAGCGUGCGAUUGGUUGUGCACGUCCAAGCAGUUAGGCUGAUAAGUAGGCAAAUCCGCUUAUCGUGAAGGCUGAGCUGUGAUGGGGAAGCUCCUUAUGGAGCGAAGUCUUUGAUUCCCCGCUGCCAAGAAAAGCUUCUAGCGAGAUAAAAGGUGCCUGUACCGCAAACCGACACAGGUAGGCGAGGAGAGAAUCCUAAGGUGUGCGAGAGAACUCUGGUUAAGGAACUCGGCAAAAUGACCCCGUAACUUCGGGAGAAGGGGUGCUUUCUUAACGGAAAGCCGCAGUGAAUAGGCCCAAGCGACUGUUUAGCAAAAACACAGCUCUCUGCGAAGCCGUAAGGCGAAGUAUAGGGGGUGACACCUGCCCGGUGCUGGAAGGUUAAGGAGAGGGGUUAGCGUAAGCGAAGCUCUGAACUGAAGCCCCAGUAAACGGCGGCCGUAACUAUAACGGUCCUAAGGUAGCGAAAUUCCUUGUCGGGUAAGUUCCGACCCGCACGAAAGGUGUAACGAUUUGGGCACUGUCUCAACCAGAGACUCGGUGAAAUUAUAGUACCUGUGAAGAUGCAGGUUACCCGCGACAGGACGGAAAGACCCCGUGGAGCUUUACUGUAGCCUGAUAUUGAAUUUUGGUACAGUUUGUACAGGAUAGGCGGGAGCCAUUGAAACCGGAGCGCUAGCUUCGGUGGAGGCGCUGGUGGGAUACCGCCCUGACUGUAUUGAAAUUCUAACCUACGGGUCUUAUCGACCCGGGAGACAGUGUCAGGUGGGCAGUUUGACUGGGGCGGUCGCCUCCUAAAGUGUAACGGAGGCGCCCAAAGGUUCCCUCAGAAUGGUUGGAAAUCAUUCGUAGAGUGCAAAGGCAUAAGGGAGCUUGACUGCGAGACCUACAAGUCGAGCAGGGACGAAAGUCGGGCUUAGUGAUCCGGUGGUUCCGCAUGGAAGGGCCAUCGCUCAACGGAUAAAAGCUACCCCGGGGAUAACAGGCUUAUCUCCCCCAAGAGUCCACAUCGACGGGGAGGUUUGGCACCUCGAUGUCGGCUCAUCGCAUCCUGGGGCUGUAGUCGGUCCCAAGGGUUGGGCUGUUCGCCCAUUAAAGCGGUACGCGAGCUGGGUUCAGAACGUCGUGAGACAGUUCGGUCCCUAUCCGUCGUGGGCGUAGGAAAUUUGAGAGGAGCUGUCCUUAGUACGAGAGGACCGGGAUGGACGCACCGCUGGUGUACCAGUUGUUCUGCCAAGGGCAUAGCUGGGUAGCUAUGUGCGGAAGGGAUAAGUGCUGAAAGCAUCUAAGCAUGAAGCCCCCCUCAAGAUGAGAUUUCCCAUAGCGUAAGCUAGUAAGAUCCCUGAAAGAUGAUCAGGUUGAUAGGUUCGAGGUGGAAGCAUGGUGACAUGUGGAGCUGACGAAUACUAAUAGAUCGAGGACUUAACCAUUUU
rnacentral:rRNA from 1 species